GAAAACUAGUUUAUUUGUGGAGGAAUGACAUGGUUCCUCAGUUCCUUCCUAUUUUGUAGUUGUGAUUCCCCAUUACUAUAAGGGAUUCUGGGAGGCUGUCACCUUAUGUUGACUUACAGAAAAAGUGGCAAAUGGGGUCUGACUGGCUGGUCUAAGGCUCAUGUUAGCAAGUAGACUAAGCAGCCCUUGUGCUCUGUGAUCAUUUGGGCCAGCAACCUCCAUGGCCUCAUGUCUGUGUCACCUGCUCAUGGUCCUUCCAUCCAGAUGGCCAAACCCAUCCAGUGCUGACAUGAUACACAGUUUGCAAAGUAUUUCCCAUAAUAUUUCAUUUGCAGCCCGAUCUUGUAAGAGAUUAUUAAUUAUUCCAUUUACAGCUGGAAAAAAAUGAAUAAUCUUUAAAAUCUGACACUGAAAAAACCCUAGAAGUUAGCUCAACUCAAUCCCUUAUUUUCUCAAAAUAAUGACAUUGAGACUCUGAAAAGUUAAGUGGCUUGUUCAAAAUCACAGUGACAGUAAUGACAACAUGGGUGUCUUCAUUAGAUGUGGCACUAAGCACUCAGAAUAUGUCAUCUCAUUUUGUUCUCACAAUAAUCUUACAAGGUAGGACAUGUUGAAAACAAAAUGAGGAAACAGAGGGCUGAGUCAAGGCCAGGUUUUCUGAUGCAAGUUCAGUGCAGCUUCACUCCUCACAGCUACCCCAGGGUGGCCCCUCUCUACUCCUGACGUCAGGGCCAUCUGAAGGGAGGACAUAGCUAUCAGCUAGGAAGAGAGAAAUGGGCAAGGACUGCCUCAUGGCUGGAAACGAUCGUGAGAAGGGCACAAGCAGCAGGAAAGCUGGGUUUUAUAGCCAGGCCUACCAAGCAUGUUGUUCUUCUCCGAGAAGACCAGAAAAGCUCUGCCCAGACAUCUGAGACUGCAAUUUCCAUCCAUCUCUUUCCUGGCUACCAUAUAUCCACCUGGAACCAAUGGGAUAAACAACUGUACAGAGACUUUUUGUUUUUGAUUUUAGUGUUGUUCUAAGAAGUUACCAAAAUACGCCAUGAAAUUAUCUCAAUUAAGUUUACCCAAA